UGCAGGGCUGGGCCCCACUGAUGGUCCUGGGU
rnacentral:piRNA from 1 species